UCAGGAUGAACGCUGGCGGCGUGCAUAACACAUCAAGUCGAACGGGCAGUUGAUGGAACCGAGGGGCAAGGAGGCUUGCUUCUGGGUUCUGUCUUCUGCCAGUGGCGGACGGGUGAGUAACGCGUGAGCAACCUGCCUUUCAGAGGGGGAUAACACAUGGAAACGUGUGCUAAUACCGCAUGACGCACGAGGACUGCAUGGUUCUUGUGUCAAAGGAGCAAUCCGCUGAGAGAUGGGCUCGCGUCCGAUUAGGCAGUUGGUGAGGUAACGGCUCACCAAACCGACGAUCGGUAGCCGGACUGAGAGGUUGAACGGCCACAUUGGAACUGAGAAACGGUCCAGACUCCUACGGGAGGCAGCAGUGGGGAAUAUUGGGCAAUGGGGGGAAACCCUGACCCAGCGACGUCGCGUGAGGGAAGAAGGUCUUCGGAUUGUAAACCUUUGUCAACAGGGAAGAAGCAAGUGACGGUACCUGAAGAGGAAGCCACGGCUAACUACGUGCCAGCCGCCGC
rnacentral:rRNA from 1 species